CUAGAGCAGUACUUCGGAGAUGGGACCAGGCUCAUGGUGUUGGAGGUUGGGCUCAAUAUCACCUCCCCCAAAGUGGCCAUCUUUCCCCCGUCAAAGCAGGAGAUCAAAGAGAAGGGGAAAGCCACUCUGGUGUGCCUGGCCAGAGAUUUCUACCCCGACCACAUCAAGCUGGUCUGGCAGGUGAAUGAUGCUGACAGGGAAGACGGGGUGAGGACAGAUGAGUUUUCCACUUGGGAUAACACAUCAAAAUCAUACUCGCUGACCAGCCGCCUGAGGAUCUCAACCCAAGAGUGGUUCAACUCCAAGAACAGUUUCCGGUGUGCUGUGAAGUUCCACCUGGAUGAGAUCCAGUAUGAAGUGAUCAGAGGUGGAGAUGGGUGUGGCAUCACUGAAGAAUCCUACAUGCGAUCUGGCAACUCUACAAAGCUCACCUACCUGGUGCUCUUGUGGAAAGCCAUGCUCUAUGCCUUGCUGGCGAGCGCUCUGGUGUGGCGAGUCAAGGCUGGUGACAAGCUGAGCAGAGAAUAAAUUGGAACUCGUCUCCAGCACCUCAGGAGGAGCACAGCUAAAUUUAUCUACUGCUCCGAAUCCUCCAGGGAGAAGGAUUUUGCUUCUGCCUGCACUCUGCCGAUAUUCCAUUCUGUGGAGGGAUUUGAUGGGUAGAGUAGUUCCUCUCUAUCCAGCUCUUUCAGUAGUCACUGAUGGCUCCCCUUGCCCCCAGAGCUUUAAAAGCUAGAUAACUACCCAUAGUGAGGGACUGAGGGGGCUGCCCCCUGAAGCCAUAAUAAAGUCUUGGU